AAAAGCCCGAGGGCAACUAACGCUUGCAAAAGUGAGGAAAGUCCCCCCUCCUCGGCAGAAUUCAGCCUGUGCAAGCAGGUGUUCUGAGAGGGAUGGUCAAGGGAAAAGAAAUAAACGGAUUCCGGUGAAGAGUGACUCGAAGAGAAGACGUUUCCGGAAGUGCCGAUGGGAACCCUUCCUGGAUGGAGAAAGUCUAAACGGGCCCUGUGAAUCUGCCGUGAGGGCCGGGUAAGACGAAUAGUCGAAUGUUGCCAACCCUUGUUGGGUGAACAGAAGGGGGCUUACUCCGGGCAUUUCCAA
rnacentral:RNase_P_RNA from 1 species